AAUUCAGUUCCCCCUGUUUCCCCUUUAACGCGCAUGUGCAAAAAUCAUGACGUUUUUUUCAGUCGCUUCGUUGAGCGUCGGUUUAUUUGGAAUAUGUAUUUAUAGCGCCUGUGAUGGAUGUGACAGAUGGUACCACCAGUCAUGUGUUGGCAACCCACCAGUAGAGGAAGACCUUCAUUGUCCGGCAUGUACUGAAGAUUAGACCAAGUAACUGCUUUAUCCUGGUCAUGGCCGUGGAGGAUCCAGAACUGUUCCUGGGGAAACUGGACGUACGGCAGGAGUGCACUAUGGAUGUGAUGCUAGUCAAUC